GUGCUGCUUUAUUUGAAAUGUUUUCUU
rnacentral:piRNA from 1 species